AACAUGAACAACAGACUCCCAGAUGUCUAAGCCCUGACCAGAGGACCAGUCUGGGAACCAGUAAAGGCUCAUGAGUUUACUGUGGCAAGUGCACCCAAGAGCCCAGCAUGGGGCUGGCAAAG
rfam:Tupaia belangeri cont1.577452, whole genome shotgun sequence.